rnacentral:rRNA from 1 species
UACGUAGGGUGCGAGCGUUGUCCGGAAUUAUUGGGCGUAAAGGGCUCGUAGGCGGUUUGUCGCGUCGGGAGUGAAAUCCACUGGCUUAACUGGUGGCUUGCUUUCGAUACGGGCAGACUGGAGGCAUGCAGGGGAGAACGGAAUUCCUGGUGUAGCGGUGAAAUGCGCAGAUAUCAGGAAGAACACCAAUGGCGAAGGCAGCUCUCUGGGACGGUACUGACGCUGAGACGCGAAAGCGUGGGGAGCGAACAGG